GAGUUUGAUCAUGGCUCAGGACGAACGCUGGCGGCGUGCUUAACACAUGCAAGUCGAACGGUGAAGCCUUUCGGGGUGGAUCAGUGGCGAACGGGUGAGUAACACGUGGGCAAUCUGCCCUGCACUCUGGGACAAGCCCUGGAAACGGGGUCUAAUACCGGAUAUUACCGUCUUCCGCAUGGUGGAUGGUGGAAAGCUCCGGCGGUGCAGGAUGAGCCCGCGGCCUAUCAGCUUGUUGGUGGGGUAAUGGCCUACCAAGGCGACGACGGGUAGCCGGCCUGAGAGGGUGACCGGCCACACUGGGACUGAGACACGGCCCAGACUCCUACGGGAGGCAGCAGUGGGGAAUAUUGCACAAUGGGCGAAAGCCUGAUGCAGCGACGCCGCGUGAGGGAUGACGGCCUUCGGGUUGUAAACCUCUUUCGCCAGGGACGAAGCGCAAGUGACGGUACCUGGAUAAGAAGCACCGGCUAACUACGUGCCAGCAGCCGCGGUA
rnacentral:rRNA from 1 species